CCGGAGCAGCCUUAGACUUGGAUUCACACCGGAGCCCUAAACAAUUUCGUCAUCUCGAACUUCGAUUCACGCCUUUGAUUCGAUUUGUCUCGAACUUGGUAAGUUCUCGUCGUCUCCUUUACUGUUUUGAUUCAAUUUUGAUUUGGAUUUGUCAGCUUUCGCUCUUCGUUACUGUUUCAAUUCACUGAGAUGCAAAAUUUAGGGUUCUGAUAUUCAUAAGCAGAUCUUAAAAUUGUGCACUCUAGUUACCAGAGUUUAACAGAGACUCGGAUCUCCAUCUCCGACCAUGGAUUCCUAGCCUUUCGAGAGAGAAAAGAACGUGACUUUUCUGGGGAUGAUGUACCAGCUCCUCCCACACCAAUACCAGAUGCAAGAGAUCAACCGCCUCACUCUCGCCUACUUCGUCAUCUCCGGCCUUGACCUCCUCCAUGCUCUCCACAGCGUACGUCAUCCCUCCUCAAUACGUUGCCGUUUAAGGAGUUCAGUUUUUUCAUUCACUAAUUAGAAGUUUGGAUUUUCAUAUUAACAAGGACGCAGUUGCGGAUUGGGUUUUGUCACUACAAGCUCACCUCGGAGACAGCGACCAAGUCAACAAUGGUAUUAAUUGAAUUCAGGGUGUUGAUAUUCAACUUGGAAUGGCAAUUGAUAGUAUAAAAGAAGUAACUCUAGAAGGCUAUUCUUUUUGCGGUUGGCAAUACUCUUGUUUGUGACGAACUUGAUGAGGCUAAGCGCCUAAGCUGGAUUGGUGAGAGGUUCAAAGUUGUAACUAUUGAUGGAAUUAUGCUGUGAAAAUCUGGCACAAUGAUUGGAGGUACCAGUGGAGGAAUGGAAGCUAGAUCAAAACAAUGGGAUAAUAAAAAAGUUGAAGGU